CUUUCCAUGAACUUUCCUUUUCCCUUACUGUCCUUUGCAAGCAAGGUCCACCUGGAGGUAAAUUAUCAUGUACAUGUACUGUUUUAUAUAGUGUAAUAAUUCUAACCUCCUUCCUGUCCAUGGCAUAUGUUCUAUGCAUCCUUUUAUCCUUUGACUUCUGUUUUUAUCAAUAACAUAUCUCCCACGUGUUUGAUAUGGCCUGCAUAUAUAGACUAUUAGAUACCCUUAAAGGCCUACAGUCUUAAACAUAUAUCUAUGCUGUGCUCAGCUGAAGGAGGAUUUGCCUGUACAGCUAAGGGUAUUAAUGAGUAAUACUUAAUACUACUGUUCUUUGUUAUGCUCUUCCUAAGCUGAAAUGAAGAAAUCCCAAAAGGUAUCAUGCUGGGGUGUUGUGGUGUUUUUUCUUUUUUUUUUUUUGGUGGUGGUUGUUGUUACUGAGUAUCUUUAUAUUAAAUCACCAUGAAAACCUAUAGCUGACUGCUGUUUUCAUAUGUAUUGCUAAAGCCAAGAGAGCAGCCUUCUGGAUCGUUGUGGGCUGUCUACAGCAUGAGAAGACAUGCAAUAUUAUUAACAUGGUCCUUUAGGACAUGAACCUCCAGCUCCUUAAGCAUACACAUUGUGUUAUUAAUUUAACUGGGGGCAUGCAAUAUAACAAAAUGUAUGCUUUGAGCAUGUCUACAACUAAAAGGUACUACUCUGAAAUUUUGCGUUUCAGUCAUGACAUGUAGGUAUGCACGUAGUUUUCUGAGGCUACCAGAUGUGAUUUUGAGUUCGCUGUUCUGAAUUGGAAAGGUUUGGGGCGUGAGGUAAUGAAUGCUAGUUCAGGUUUACAAGAAAGAAAAAAAAAAAAAUCCUUUAAUGUAGGAUAGAUAGGAGCAUCAACAGAAGCAUCGAUGCAUGUAGUUAUUGGCACUGUUUCUUUUGAAAGUGAUGGUUUUAACCUACCAUAUAGCUUUACCACUCGGCUGGUGCAGAAGAAAUACUUCCUUAGUCGUAACUGGAACACCUUAUUCAGAGAAGACAAAGCCUACAAGUUCAGCAUCAAGUUCCACAUUGCAGUGCUGCCUUCACCUGAACAUAGAUAUACUCGUACAUCCUGUUACACUUAAAGCACAGUGUGUCACCACUGAGACUUCAGAGGGCUCCAAGUUCAUCUCCCAAGCUGUAUCUGUACAAGCUGUUCCAUUUUUUUUUUUUGCCAUCUAUGAUAACAGGUUUUGAAGGACAAUUUUCAGGAGUGCUUUUCCUCCCCUGGAUAGUGGCCUUUAUUUGUAAUGUAUUUCUUUCAUACUGUUGAUAUUUAAUUACAAAUCUGAAUCCCUUGUGGGUGUCAUACUAUAGAGCAAAAAUUUAGUUACUCAUGUUGACAGUAUUAAGAAAUAGCUAGAUUG
rnacentral:lncRNA from 1 species